ensembl:lncRNA
CUUGUCUCUGCUUAGAUAACCUCAACAUGGUUCUUCUUCCCAACAGAAUAAAAUGAUGGAGCUUUUCUCCACCAGACUAGACCUCCUCCACAGCCACCAGGCAUCCACACUACAGGAGCUGCAGAUGGCCAGGCAGGAGGUGGGGAAAGUCCAGGAGAUUCUCAGGACAUCCCCACAGGAGAAGGGGCAACAGGAAGCCCCUCCUACUGAUGCUGGUGACAUAUUAGAGAAUGACAACAGUCCCGUCCAGCAAACUGAGGGGUGCAGUGGCACAGAGCUGCCACUGGAGGGGGCCCAAGCUCGCCUGGAGGAGUUGAAGGAGAGUCUGUAUAAAAGGGAGAGAGAGAUUACUGAGCUCCUGGAGGCAGAGCAGACACCCAUCCCACCUAUCCCGGUGGCACAGCCCCCCUGUGCUGUCCUGCUCCGCAUUGUCGUUGAGAAGGCCCAUGAUAUCUGUAGCGAAGUGAUUGAGGCGAGGCUCCUUGUUGACCACAUGUUCGAGGAGAACCAUGUGGCCUUGGCCCAAGCAAGAGAAAAACUUGACCAUAUGUCACAGAUGACCGCAGAUGAUAACAACAGCAAAGACGAGGUCAACUCUGCCCCAGAAUGGUUGGACUCUUCCGAUGAGUAUGCAUCUAAUGUGCUGUUGCUACAAGAGACACUGAGGGAAUGUGAGAUUACCCAGAUGGCUCU